AGUGAACGCUGGCGGCGUGCCUAAUACAUGCAAGUCGAACGGAAUUUAAAAGAGCUUGCUCUUUUAAAUUUAGUGGCGCACGGGUGAGUAAUAUAUAGCUAAUCUGCCCCUUGCUGGAGGACAACAGUUAGAAAUGACUGCUAAUACUCCAUACUCCUUUUUACCAUAAGAUAAAUCGGGAAAGAAUUUCGGCAAGGGAUGAGACUAUAUCGUAUCAGCUAGUCGGUGGGGUAACGGCCUACCGAGGCUAUGACGCGUAACUGGUCUGAGAGGAUGAUCAGUCACAUUGGAACUGAGACACGGUCCAAACUCCUACGGGAGGCAGCAGUAGGGAAUAUUGCGCAAUGGGGGAAACCCUGACGCAGCAACGCCGCGUGGAGGAUGACACUUUUCGGAGCGUAAACUCCUUUUGUUAGGGAAGAAUAAUGACGGACCUAAC
rnacentral:rRNA from 1 species